AGAGUUUGAUCCUGGCUCAGAUUGAACGCUGGCGGUAUGCCUUACACAUGCAAGUCGAACGGUAGAGGAGCAAUCCUCGAGAGUGGCGAACGGGUGAGUAAUACAUCGGAACGUGCCCAGUCGUGGGGGACAACGUAGCGAAAGCUACGCUAAUACCGCAUACGACCCGAGGGUGAAAGCGGGGGACUCGCAAGAGCCUCGCGCGAUUGGAGCGGCCGAUGGCAGAUUAGGUAGUUGGUGGGGUAAAGGCCCACCAAGCCUGCGAUCUGUAGCUGGUCUGAGAGGACGACCAGCCACACUGGGACUGAGACACGGCCCAGACUCCUACGGGAGGCAGCAGUGGGGAAUUUUGGACAAUGGGCGAAAGCCUGAUCCAGCCAUACUGCGUGCGGGAAGAAGGCCUUCGGGUUGUAAACCGCUUUUGUCAGGGAAGAAAUACUUCGGGCUAAUACCCUGGGGUGAUGACGGUACCUGAAGAAUAAGCACCGGCUAACUACGUGCCAGCAGCCGCGGUAAUACGUAGGGUGCAAGCGUUAAUCGGAAUUACUGGGCGUGAAGCGUGCGCAGGCGGUUCUAUAAGACAGAUGUGAAAUCCCCGGGCUCAACCUGGGAACUGCAUUUGUGACUGUAGAGCUAGAGUACGGU
rnacentral:rRNA from 1 species